GAUGAACGCUGGCGGCGUGCUUAACACAUGCAAGUCGAACGAAGCACUUAUGAUUGAGAUUUCGGUUGAUUUUAUAAGUGACUUAGUGGCGGACGGGUGAGUAACGCGUGGGUAACCUGCCUCGUACAGGGGGAUAACAGUUAGAAAUGACUGCUAAUACCGCAUAAGCGCACAGUACCGCAUGGUACAGUGUGAAAAACUCCGGUGGUAUGAGAUGGACCCGCGUCUGAUUAGCUAGUUGGUAAGGUAACGGCUUACCAAGGCGACGAUCAGUAGCCGGACUGAGAGGUUGAACGGCCACAUUGGAACUGAGAUACGGUCCAGACUCCUACGGGAGGCAGCAGUGGGGAAUAUUGGGCAAUGGGCGAAAGCCUGACCCAGCGACGCCGCGUGAGGGAAGAAGGUCUUCGGAUUGUAAACCUUUGUUGACAGGGAAGAAGAAAGUGACGGUACCUGUAAAGAAAGCCACGGCUAACUACGUG
rnacentral:rRNA from 1 species